CACUAGUCAGGUUAGUCUAGUCCUAUGGAGAUGCGUAGAUUGGAUCUAGGAUCUGAUAGUGGACCAGCGCGUAUAGUCUCUACAUAGCUAACCACCCAAGUACCUAGCUCACGACAGACGGGGCAGUUGGUCUGAUGUUUUGACAGGAAACGACCCAGUUCCAAUCAUCCUAACCUGUAACUAGUAAAGUUGAUAACUUAGGUGUGUUAGCUAAAAACUGAUGAAAUAGCGGUAUGACACUAACAAAUCAAUUAAUCUAUUCUUUCAUGGUGGAGCAGCCUAGAUCUCACCCUUGAUCGCGAUGAUCUUAGACUACAUGCCUAGCGUCCGGACAGCCGAGAGGUCUGACACAUUGGCCGUAGUUCCCGCUUGGGACAAGCCCUAAACAAGUGCACCAGUUUGAUCGUGAGACUCAGUCACUAAACUUAACAAUGAACCUGAGAGGAGCUUCACCCCUGUCUCUGCUUGAUAUUAGCCUCCUUAUACGUAGUUAUGGUAAACGAAUUAUUCCUUGCUUGAUUAUUUUAAUUGCCUUAACCUUGAUGUUAGGGAAAAGCUGCACUGGGACAAAUAGCCGAGCCAAAUAUGUGACGAAACAGAAAAAUUUCCCAAUUGGUCGAGACCUUCCGCAUCCGGAAUAGUAUGUACAAAAUGAGAUCGGUCACAUCUGGUUCCACCGUGUUCGCCGAGUAUAAGCACUGAGGAAAUUAAUCCAAUUUUAUUUCCAGCAAAAAUAUAUGAUUUUUCCGGCGUAUAUGCUGACCCGAAAAAGAGAAUAAGAACAGGGAGCCAAGCUGACCUGCUGUGCAGUAACAUGAGAUCGAUCGUAAUGUAUGUGUAUAUAUGUAUGUGCAUAGUCAUCGGUCAGUGUUGUGUAUGCGUGUCUUGCGUGCUGUACAAUAUGAUCCAUGUCUUUCCUGUGUACCUGGAGGGAAAAACAUGGGGCUAGCGAUUCAGUAGUAAGUGCUGGACUAUACUUGAGUCUUCAUGCUGUAUCACCCCUUGGCAGGACUCGAGGAGAACACCCGGGCGAGCAAGCGCGAAAGCAAGCAAGAACAAUACGAAAAAUGGAAAACUCUCUGACCGACUAACUUCGUUAUUUGGUGCCUCGUAGUGGUAGCUAGGUACGUGUUCAUUGUUGAUUUCUUUUUCUUCGUCUUCUUUCUUCCAGUCAUGGGGGGCCGCAUGGACAGUAUAUACGGAACUCGUGUUACAUCCUGAAGCGAAUGUACUUUCUUCACGAUCGAAGGCGAUUAUGUGAGCAUCGAAUCACUGCAAGCAGAGGCAGGGCGUGUCUCUCGUGUCUCUUCUGCUUCAUUCCGAGUAUUUAUCCAUAUUAUCAUGCAGGCUUCGAGGGAAAACCGCUCCACAACAUCUAGAUAUGAUAUCCAAUCACCGGAGUUAAGUUCGGAAAAUCGCAAACGGAGUAGAGCAGAUAGCUUGAUCCUGAACAACUAUAUGAACCACGUACAGAACACCUGUGGAAAAUUGGAAAUAUUUGGUGAUCAUUGAGCGGUGAUUUUCUUCGAAUUUCCUACCUUGGUAUCUAUCUAUACAUAUCGACAUCACCUGGGAAUAUUGUAAUGCUUGCGUUGGUUAUGUGUUAUGUGUUCCCAGCUCCAGCAUACCGCAGCGUGGAUCUCCUGUGACUGGCCAGAGCAGUACAGUCAACGAUCACGAUCAGCAGUAGGCGCAUCAAAGCGCCAAGGACAGAUUGGGUUUCUGACUUGGCUCCUAGAUGGCCCCCAUAUUAAUUAAUCAGAGUUGAGAAUUGACCAUUCAUAACAGGGAUGAAUCAGGUUUCGCCGAACCUUAACGUGAAAAUAAGAGUUGGCUAAACCAUAAUUCAAGUUCUUCGGUGACUUUUUGGCUUUGGAUUAAUGGAAUUCAGCCUAUAGCACAAGAACGCCGUACAAGGUGGCUGCAAAUAAUGCAAUCGAACAUCAAUAACAACGUAUCGGAGGUGUCGAUCACCCGCCAAUAGUGCCAUCCCUAACUCCGCAUAUCAGCUAGGUACCUAACUUACUAACUACAUAAAGUUAAAAACUUACUAAGCACUCCGUAUAGUUAACUAGUUAACUAACUAGCUAGCUAGCUAGUCAGCUAGUUAAGUCAGAGAACAAUGAGGAGUGACUACUAGGAGUAGAACA
rnacentral:lncRNA from 1 species